UACGUAGGCAGCAAGCGUUGUUCGGAGUUACUGGGCGUAAAGGGUGUGUAGGCGGCCUUCUAAGUUCGGUGUGAAAUCUCCCGGCUCAACCGGGAGGGUGCGCCGGAAACUGGCAGGCUAGAGUGUGGGAUGGGAAAGUGGAAUUCCUGGUGUAGCGGUGAAAUGCGUAGAUAUCAGGAGGAACACCGGUGGUGUAGACGGCUUUCUGGACCAUAACUGACGCUGAGACACGAAAGCGUGGGUAGCAAACAGG
rnacentral:rRNA from 1 species